CAAGUUCUUCCAUCCCACAUGGCAAACAACACUUGUCCCGACAAAUUAUAGAGUUGUAACGCGCCCUUUCACAACAGACGACCUUAAUGAAUAAAUGUUUGCAGCGUAUCAAGAUGUAGCGUGCCCUAAACAAGGUGUCCCAAACUUAAAUAAGGGCAAACAACUGCCCUCUCCAACAAUGUCCCGGCAAACAGCCCUUCGAUCAGUUAUGAACCAAGCAACCAUUCGGCAAACAACCCUUCUAAUAAUGUACCCUCCCGACUAGGCCCUCGGGAUAGCGUAUACUCUGGUCUUAGUGCCCAGAAGAGGGUUCACUCCUAAUUAAGCCCAUAUACAUGCAUAAAUUCACGGUUUGGUAAAACUCCAUUAAUCAACAUGGACAACCUUAUAUACGAAGUGUUCAUUCGCGAAUAUGCCUACAAGGAGCAUCCUUCAUCUCAUAUUGGAGUAGGUAGAAUGAUGGACGGAGAAAAGUAGUCAAUCAAUCCAGCUGAAGUUCAAUUGGCAGCCUGCAAGUGACCAGUUCUUUUGCCAAGAUUGUAUCACAUGCACUAUAGUGUGACAUAGAAAAACCAACAGGGAAGAGCAGCCUAGACCAACAGCUCACGACCGGGGGUAGACGGAAGCUCCGCUACCCCAGUAGAGGCAAAUUUAAGAAGAAGUAAAGAGGCUCCUCACUAAGCGAUUAUGUAGAUUUUAGUGCAUCAAUACCACUAACGUAGCACUCGAAAAGGACAUAACUUGUACGAGCAACUCAUCUUUUACUAACAAGAUCGAGUAGACAGAACCACCCUACAUACACUGGCAAAUGCAAAGAUUACUUCUUUUCUGACAAACACAAUAACUCAGCCUAAUGGUGCGCCGGGGGAAAAUAGGUAUCAGAAGGACACACCAGCCCAACCACUAAGUGUUGGAAAUGUGCCCUAAAACCAAUCAUAUGAUGAUACUUUACGGACAUUUCAAAUGUUAAACUAAU
rnacentral:lncRNA from 1 species